AUGAUUUACAUUUGAGUGAGUGGCGAACUGGUGAGUAACACGUGGGAAACCUGCCCAGAAAGGGGGAUAACCUGGAAACAGAUGCUAAUACCGCGUAACAACUUGGACCGCAUGGUCCGAGUUUGAAAGAUGGCUUCGGCUAUCACUUUUUGGGAUGGGUCCCGCGGCGUAUUAGCUAGAUGGUGAGGUAACGGCUCACCAUGGCAAUGAUACGUAGCCGACCUGAGAGGGUAAUCGGCCACAUUGGGACUGAGACACGGCCCAAACUCC
rnacentral:rRNA from 1 species